AAAUUGAAGAGUUUGAUCAUGGCUCAGAUUGAACGCUGGCGGCAGGCCUAACACAUGCAAGUCGAACGGUAACAGGAAACAGCUUGCUGUUUCGCUGACGAGUGGCGGACGGGUGAGUAAUGUCUGGGAAACUGCCUGAUGGAGGGGGAUAACUACUGGAAACGGUAGCUAAUACCGCAUAACGUCGCAAGACCAAAGAGGGGGACCUUCGGGCCUCUUGCCAUCGGAUGUGCCCAGAUGGGAUUAGCUAGUAGGUGGGGUAACGGCUCACCUAGGCGACGAUCCCUAGCUGGUCUGAGAGGAUGACCAGCCACACUGGAACUGAGACACGGUCCAGACUCCUACGGGAGGCAGCAGUGGGGAAUAUUGCACAAUGGGCGCAAGCCUGAUGCAGCCAUGCCGCGUGUAUGAAGAAGGCCUUCGGGUUGUAAAGUACUUUCAGCGGGGAGGAAGGGAGUAAAGUUAAUACCUUUGCUCAUUGACGUUACCCGCAGAAGAAGCACCGGCUAACUCCGUGCCAGCAGCCGCGGUAAUACGGAGGGUGCAAGCGUUAAUCGGAAUUACUGGGCGUAAAGCGCACGCAGGCGGUUUGUUAAGUCAGAUGUGAAAUCCCCGGGCUCAACCUGGGAACUGCAUCUGAUACUGGCAAGCUUGAGUCUCGUAGAGGGGGGUAGAAUUCCAGGUGUAGCGGUGAAAUGCGUAGAGAUCUGGAGGCAUAACGGUGGCGAAGGCGGCCCCCUGGACGAAGACUGACGCUCAGGUGCGAAAGCGUGGGGAGCAGACAGGAUUAGAUACCCUGGUAGUCCACGCCGUAAACGAUGUCG
rnacentral:rRNA from 1 species